GACAGAGGAUGCAAGCGUUAUCCGGAAUGAUUGGGCGUAAAGCGUCUGUAGGUGGCUUUUCAAGUCCGCCGUCAAAUCCCAGGGCUCAACCCUGGACAGGCGGUGGAAACUACCAAGCUGGAGUACGGUAGGGGCAGAGGGAAUUUCCGGUGGAGCGGUGAAAAUGCAUUGAGGAUCGGAAAGAACACCAACGGCGAAAG
rnacentral:rRNA from 1 species